AUUGAACGCUGGCGGCAGGCCUAACACAUGCAAGUCGAACGGUAACAGGGAUCCGCUUGCUGAUUCGCUGACGAGUGGCGGACGGGUGAGUAAUGUCUGGGAAACUGCCUGAUGGAGGGGGAUAACUACUGGAAACGGUAGCUAAUACCGCAUAACGUCGCAAGACCAAAGAGGGGGACCUUCGGGCCUCUUGCCAUCGGAUGUGCCCAGAUGGGAUUAGCUAGUAGGUGGGGUAACGGCUCACCUAGGCGACGAUCCCUAGCUGGUCUGAGAGGAUGACCAGCCACACUGGAACUGAGACACGGUCCAGACUCCUACGGGAGGCAGCAGUGGGGAAUAUUGCACAAUGGGCGCAAGCCUGAUGCAGCCAUGCCGCGUGUAUGAAGAAGGCCUUCGGGUUGUAAAGUACUUUCAGCGGGGAGGAAGGGAGUAAAGUUAAUACCUUUGCUCAUUGACGUUACCCGCAGAAGAAGCACCGGCUAACUCCGUG
rnacentral:rRNA from 1 species